GGGGUCCUGGUGGACUCCCAUUUGAGCAGGAGGCAGCAAGGUGCCCCAAGGCGGCCGUGAGUGGUGCCCUGGGCUGCAUGGGGCAAAGCGUUGGCAGCAGCUGGAGGGAGGUGACCCUUCCCCCUGCUCAGCGCUGCUGAGGCCAGGCCUGCAGUGCUGUGCCCAGCUCUGGGCUCCCCAGGACGAGAGAGACGUGGGCAAAGUGGGGAGAGCCCCCAGUGCCCCUCCCCCACCAGGGCGGUUAGAAUGCGACGCUGUGUUGACCCGGCGCUGGCCCGGCAACGGUUCUGUGCCAACACGGAGCGGCAGGGGCGAGAGCGCAGCUCUCGUCCAGCAGCACUACUGGCACUGGGACGCGCUCUGGGAGCUUGUCUCCAGCCUCCUGGGAGGUGUCUUGAGCCCCACCAGUGUGUCCCACGGACAUUUUCUACUGUUCUCGUCGGGAUGGGCCAGGUGAACUGCUGCCGUGGCUCCAGGUAGGUUCCCCCCAGAGCUCGCGGGUACCCUGGCACAACCAGACCCUGCAGCAGCCGCUUUUCUCACGCCCGACACCGUUUGCUCUGCAGGGUCGAACCUGAGCCCGUGCAGCAGUGCGUGCCCGUCCCGGCGUCUUGCGAGCCACUGCUCCGGCAGCGCGUGCGGGUGACCCAGGGCCGUGUGACGAGGAAGAGGGACCUCCUCCUCUUCAGCGACACCUUGGUCAUCGCCAAACCCCAACGUGGCAGCGCCCCGCGCCCGCAGCUCUGCCUGUCCCUGGGCCAGCUGAGGGUGCUCAGCAGUGGGACGGGGGCAGCCGGCGAUGGCACAGAGGAGGAGGACGGCAAGCACACCACCUCGCUUGUCCUCGUCUGGCCCUGCGGCUCCUGUGUCAUCACUUUCCGCUGCCGGGCAGUGAAGGAGCUGUGGGUCAGCGCGCUCCUUGGGUAAGCCCAGCUGUGCCCAGCCAGCACCUGCCCAGCCCCGUCUUCAGCACCACCGCUGCUCUCCGCUCCACUGCCGGGUGGUACCCGGCUGCUCUGGGGCAGCGUGGAAGUGCUCCA